GACGAACGCUGGCGGCGUGCUUAACACAUGCAAGUCGAGCGAUGAAAGCCUUAUGAACUAUUCGUAGUGAUUGGGGCCGGAUUAGCGGCGGACGGGUGAGUAACGCGUGAGCAACCUGCCUUAAACAACGGGAUAGCCUCGGGAAACCGGGAUUAAUAACGUAUGAGACCCCGCCUUCACAUGAAGAAGAGGUUAAAGAUUUAUCGGUUUAAGAGGGGCUCGCGUCUGAUUAGCUAGUUGGUGAGAUAAAAGCCCACCAAGGCAACGAUCAGUAACCGGCUUGAGAGAGUGGACGGUCACAUUGUAACUGAGACACGGUCCAAACUCCUACGGGAGGCAGCAGUGGGGAAUAUUGCACAAUGGGGGAAACCCUGAUGCAGCGACGCCGCGUGAGCGAUGAAGGAAUUCGUUUCGUAAAGCUCUGUCCAAGGGGAAGAUAAUGACAGUACCCUUGGAGGAAGCCCCGGCUAAAUACGUGCCAGCCGCCGCCGUAAUAC
rnacentral:rRNA from 1 species